AUUGAACGCUGGCGGCAUGCCUUACACAUGCAAGUCGAACGGCAGCACGGGUGCUUGCACCUGGUGGCGAGUGGCGAACGGGUGAGUAAUACAUCGGAACGUACCUUAUCGUGGGGGAUAACGCAGCGAAAGCCGUGCUAAUACCGCAUACGCCCUGAGGGGGAAAGCGGGGGAUCGCAAGACCUCGCGCGAUUAGAGCGGCCGAUGCCUGAUUAGCUUGUUGGUGGGGUAAAAGCCCACCAAGGCGACGAUCAGUAGCUGGUCUGAGAGGACGAUCAGCCACACUGGGACUGAGACACGGCCCAGACUCCUACGGGAGGCAGCAGUGGGGAAUUUUGGACAAUGGGGGCAACCCUGAUCCAGCAAUGCCGCGUGAGUGAAGAAGGCCUUCGGGUUGUAAAGCUCUUUUGUCAGGGAAGAAACACCGGCUCUAACACAGUCCGGGAAUGACGGUACCUGAAGAAGAAGCCCCGGCUAACUACGUGCCAGCCGCCGCAGUAA
rnacentral:rRNA from 1 species